UACGUAGGGGGCAAGCGUUGUCCGGAAUUAUUGGGCGUAAAGAGCGUGUAGGCGGGCCGUCAAGUCUGGGGUGAAAUCCCGCGGCUCAACCGUGGAACUGCCUCAGAUACUGACGGUCUCGAGGGGGAUAGGGGCGAGCGGAACUGUGAGUGGAGCGGUGAAAUGCGUUGAUAUUCACAGGAACUCCGGUGGCGAAGGCGGCUCGCUGGAUCUCUUCUGACGCUGAGGCGCGAAAGCCAGGGGAGCAAACGGG
rnacentral:rRNA from 1 species